GACCGGCUGGAAGAGCACUGUUCAAACAAACGGAGCUAUUCGGCUGCGCGAGAGCGGAAGAGCGUGUCAUCAGAAAUCAUACGUAGCCGGUCGGCUCCUUUUAUUUUUACACACUAACCGCGUAAGGUUUGCUCUCCGGCAUUCUCAAUAACAAAAGAGGUGAUAUGUAAAAAUGAACCUUAUUUCAACUACCCAACACUCUAUUUUAAUCGCUAUCAAAAUCUGCUCUCCAGUCCGAGCCGGUCUGUGUGAACGGACAGUUAAAAGGGUACAGACAGC